GGGCUGCAGUAGGGAAUAUUGGGCAAUGGUCGCAAGACUGACCCAGCCAUGCCGCGUGCAGGAAGACGGCCCUCUGGGUUGUAAACUGCUUUUAUCUGGGAAGAAAAAGUCCAUGCGUGGAAAAUUGCCGGUACCAGAUGAAUAAGCACCGGCUAACUCCGUGCCAGCAGCCGCGGUAAUACGGAGGGUGCAAGCGUUGUCCGGAUUUAUUGGGUUUAAAGGGUGCGUAGGCGGCUGAAUAAGUCAGCGGUGAAAGACUUCGGCUUAACCGGAGCAGUGCCGUUGAUACUGUUUAGCUUGAGUGUUGGAGGGGUACAUGGAAUUGAUGGUGUAGCGGUGAAAUGCAUAGAUACCAUCAGGAACACCGAUAGCGAAGGCAUUGUACUGGCCAACAACUGACGCUGAGGCACGAAAGUGUGGGGAUCGAACAGGAUUAGAUACCCCGGUAGUC
rnacentral:rRNA from 1 species